rnacentral:rRNA from 1 species
UGGGGAAUAUUGCACAAUGGGCGAAAGCCUGAUGCAGCGACGCCGCGUGGGGGAUGACGGCCUUCGGGUUGUAAACCUCUUUCAGUAGGGAAGAAGCGAAAGUGACGGUACCUGCAGAAGAAGCGCCGGCUAACUACGUGCCAGCAGCCGCGGUAAUACGUAGGGCGCAAGCGUUGUCCGGAAUUAUUGGGCGUAAAGAGCUCGUAGGUGGCUUGUCGCGUCUGCCGUGAAAACCCGAGGCUCAACCUCGGGCGUGCGGUGGGUACGGGCAGGCUAGAGUGUGGUAGGGGAGACUGGAACUCCUGGUGUAGCGGUGAAAUGCGCAGAUAUCAGGAAGAACACCGAUGGCGAAGGCAGGUCUCUGGGCCAUUACUGACACUGAGGAGCGAAAGCAUGGGUAGCGAACA